rnacentral:rRNA from 1 species
AUAGCGAAAGCUAGUUGCAUUUAACUUAGCUAAAUCUAAGUUGAUGCAAGAUUGACUGUAUCGAAUAAAGUUCUAGGUGGGUUAUGAUGAUGACAUUUCCUAUCUAUGUGUCUUGACCAAAUUACGUGCCAGCAGUCGCGGUAAUACGUAAAAGACUAGUGUUAUUCAUCUUUAAUAGGUUUAAAGGGUACCUAGACGGUAAAUCAAGUCCGAGAAGGAUACUAAUUUGACUAGAGUUUAAUGUGAGGGGGCACUAAAGUACUGAUAAGUGUAGAGAUGAAAUUCUGUGAUACAAUAUACGGCACUGGCAAAGGCGAAAGCAUCUCAUUAUGUAAUAACUGACGUUGAGGGACGAAGGCAUGGUUAGCAAAAAGGAUUAGAUACCCAAGUAGUCUUAGCAGAAAAUUAUGAAUGUCAUAGGAUGGAAAGUUGCAUGGACAAAAAACAAAUUUUAAACAAAUUUGUUGUUCAACAAAUUUUUUUUUUUCUAUAAAUGAAAGUGUAAGCAUUCCACCUCGAGAGUAAUUUGGCAACAUUGGAACUGAAAUCAUUAAACCGUU